rnacentral:rRNA from 1 species
AACGCUGGCGGCGCGCUUAACACAUGCAAGUCGAGCGAGAACCAAGCCUUCGGGCUUGGGGACAGCGGCGAACGGGUGAGUAACACGUGGGUAAUCAACCCUCGACACUGGGAUAGCCCGGGGAAACCCGGAUUAAUACCGGAUACCCCAUCUGGCCUUCGGGCCGGCUGGAAAAGGUAGCUUUGGCCUCCGGUCGAGGACGAGCCCGCGGCGGAUUAGCUUGUUGGUGGGGUAAAAGCCCACCAAGGCGACGAUCCGUAGCUGGUCUGGGAGGACGAUCAGCCACACUGGGACUGAGACACGGCCCAGACUCGUACGGGAGGCAGCAGUGGGGAAUCUUGCGCAAUGGGCGAAAGCCUGACGCAGCGACGCCGCGUGAGGGAAGAAGGCCUUCGGGUUGUAAACCUCUUUCAGAAGGGACGAAGCCACUCGGGUUAAUAGCCCAGAGGGUGACGGUACCUUCAGAAGAAGCCCCGGCUAACUACGUGCCAGCCGCCGCCGUAAAAC